ensembl:lncRNA
GGUAAACGUUGGGGUGAAGCAAGGCUGUGUCUUGGCUCCGAUGCUCUUUAACAUCCUCCUCUCUGCCAUCACAUGCCUUUUCCACCGUGUCCUGGGACAUGAAGACGGUGUCCAUGUGGAAUACCGACUUGACGGAAGCCUCUUCAACAUUCGUCGGCUCCAAGCUCACACAAAGACAAAGAUCCGCCAGAUCUGUGAGCUUCAGUAUGCUGAUGACUGUGCAAUCUUAGCCCACAGCCCAGACUCUAUGCAGUACGCCCUUAACAUAAUAUCCAGUCUGUACCAAUCUUUCGGCCUACAGGUUAACACUCAAAAAACCGAGGUCAUGUUCCAUCUCACCACCCCCGUUCCCGCACCCCCCAGUUUUCACAUAAAUGGUGUCCCACUUAAAUCAGUGGACCACUUCACCUACCUCGGCUCCACUCUGUCCUCAAGCAGCUCCCUUGAUACAGAAAUACACACUCGGAUAAAUAAAGCCUCAUCAUCUUUUGGACGCCUACGCAGCAGGGUCUUUGAAAAUCGUAACCUGAAGGUCAGUACCAAGGUUGCUGUUUACAAUGCGGUAUGUCUCUCCACUCUUCUUUAUGGGGCAGAGUCAUGGACCCCAUACCGCCAGCACAUCAUCCACCUAGAGGCCUUCCAUAUUCGCUGCUUACAAAAAAUCCUCAGCUUGUCCUGGAAAGAUCGAAUCCCCCAAACAGUCAUCCUCAGCAACACCGACUCAAUCUGUAUGGAAGCUGCUGUGGCCAGAAAACAUCUGCGUUGGAUAGGGCACACCAUACGCAUGCCUGAACAUCGCCUGCCCCGCCAAGUCCUUUACAGUCAACUAGUGGGUGCUAAACGUUCCGCCGGAGGGCAAAAGCGUCGUUUUAAGGACUAUACCAGGGACCUCCUAAAGCGGGCAAACAUCCCCCUCACGAAGCUAGAAUCUCUGGCACUUGACCGAUCAGCCUGGCAGGCCACCUGUGCCGCUGCGGUCUCUCAAAUACACCAAACCAACCAAGACCAACG